rnacentral:rRNA from 1 species
GACGGAGGGUGCGAGCGUUAUUCGGAAUUAUUGGGCGUAAAGAGCGUGUAGGCGGCCGGUUAAGUCAGGUGUGAAAGCCCAGGGCUCAACCCUGGAAGUGCACUUGAAACUGGUCGGCUUGAGUCCGGGAGAGGGAAGCGGAAUUCCGGGUGUAGAGGUGAAAUUCGUAGAUAUCCGGAGGAACACCGGUGGCGAAGGCGGCUUCCUGGACCGAGACUGACGCUGAGACGCGAAAGCGUGGGGAGCAAACAGGAUUAGAUACCCCCGGUA